rnacentral:rRNA from 1 species
UACGUAGGGUGCAAGCGUUGUCCGGAUUCAUUGGGCGUAAAGAGCUCGUAGGCGGCUUGGCAAGUCGGGUGUGAAAACUCCAGGCUCAACCUGGAGACGCCACCCGAUACUGCCAUGGCUUGAGUCCGGUAGGGGACCACGGAAUUCCUGGUGUAGCGGUGAAAUGCGCAGAUAUCAGGAGGAACACCGGUGGCGAAGGCGGUGGUCUGGGCCGGUACUGACGCUGAGGAGCGAAAGCGUGGGGAGCGAACAGG